UACAGAGGUCUCAAGCGUUGUUCGGAUUCAUUGGGCGUAAAGGGUGCGUAGGUGGCGCGCUAAGUCAGGUGUGAAAUUUCGGAGCUUAACUCCGAAACUGCAUUUGAUACUGGCGUGCUUGAGGACUGGAGAGGAGGCUGGAAUUCACGGUGUAGCAGUGAAAUGCGUAGAGAUCGUGAGGAAGACCAGUGGCGAAGGCGGGUCUCUGGACAGUUCCUGACACUGAGGCACGAAGGCCAGGGGAGCAAACGGG
rnacentral:rRNA from 1 species